rnacentral:rRNA from 1 species
GACGAACGCUGGCGGCGUGCCUAAUACAUGCAAGUCGAGCGCAGGAAACCGUCUGAACCCUUCGGGGGGACGACGGCGGAAUGAGCGGCGGACGGGUGAGUAACACGUAAAGAACCUGCCCACGGGUCUGGGAUAACCACGAGAAAUCGGGGCUAAUACCGGACGGGUCAUCGGACCGCAUGGUCCGAGGAUGAAAGGCGCUCCGGCGUCGCCCGUGGAUGGCUUUGCGGUGCAUUAGCUAGUUGGUGGGGUAACGGCCCAUCAAGGCGACGGUGCAUAGCCGACCUGAGAGGGUGAUCGGCCACACUGGGACUGAGACACGGCCCAGACUCCUGCGGGAGGCAGCAGUAGGGCAUCUUCCACAAUGGACGAAAGUCUGAUGGAGCAACGCCGCGUGAACGAUGAAGGCCCUCGGGUCGUAAAGUUCUGUUGUAAGGGAAGAACAAGUGCCGCAGGCAAUGGCGGCACCUUGACGGUACCUUGCGAGAAAGCCACGGCUAACUACGUGCCAGCAGCCGCAGUAACAC